rnacentral:rRNA from 1 species
CGUCUAUAUACGUAUAGCAUAUCAAUAAGCGGAGGAAAAGAAACUAACUAGGAUUCCCUCAGUAACGGCGAGUGAAGCGGGAAGAGCUCAAAUUUGAAAUCUUCAAGGUUCUACCUUGACGAAUUGUAGUUUAAAGAAGUGUUUUCUGUUGGAGUUUUGGUAAAAGUUCUUUGGAAUAGGACAUCAUAGAGGGUGAGAAUCCCGUAUUUGACCGUUACUUUCCAGCUGUGUGAUACACUUUCAAAGAGUCGGAUUGUUUGGGAAUGCAGUCCAAGAUGGGUGGUAAAUUUCAUCUAAAGCUAAAUAUUGGCGAGAGACCGAUAGCGAACAAGUACCGUGAGGGAAAGAUGAAAAGAACUUUGAAAAGAGAGUUAAACAGUACGUGAAAUUGUCAAAAGGGAAGCGUUUGACACCAGUGUUGUUUAGUUGAAAAUCAAUUCAAUAGUUUUUGAUUCUAAGUAGUAUUGACUUCAUCAGCUUGCUGCUUUCUUCUCAGAAAUUAUUGAAUGCACUUUUCAGUUAACAAGUCAACAUCAAUUUCUUUUGUUGUAAAAGGGUAAGAGGAAGGUGGCUUGCGCUUCGGCCUCAAGUGUUUAUAGCCUUUUAUCUCUGCAAUCGGAGAGAUUGAGGUCUGCAGCGUAGAUCCUUCGGGGUUAGAUACAUUGGUGCUAAGCUAUAGCCUUGUAUAGACAACUUGUUGACUAUGCUCAGUCAUGUAGCUUACUCGCUGAUGCUAUUUUACCUACGCUUAGGAUGUUGAAGAUAUGCGCGACACG